GAUGAACGCUGGCGGCGUGCUUAAUACAUGCAAGUCGAGCGAACAGACCAGGCUCUUGCUCCUUUCACGUUUGGCGCACACGUGUGAGAAACACGUGUAUAACCCACCUAUAAUACUGAUAUCAUCUGGGGAAACCGGAGCAUAUCCCGUAUAAUAUAUUGAACCGCAUGGUUCAAUAGUGAAAUACGGUUUUGCUGUCUCUUAUAGAGGGUUCCGGGCUGCAUUAGCUAGUUGGUAAGGUAACGGCUUACCAAGGCGACGAUGCGUAGCCGAAGGGAGAGGGUGGUAGGCGGCACGGGAGCUGGAACGCGGUCCAGGGUACUACGGGAGGGAGCAGUAGGGAAUCUUCGGCAGUGGGCGAAAGCCUGGCGGAACAACGCGGCGUGAGUGAUAGAGGUCUUGGGUUCGUAAAACUCUGUUAUUGGGGAAGAACAGAUGUGUAAGUAACUAUGCACGGCUUGACGGUACCUAGUAAGAAAGCCACGGCUAACUACGUG
rnacentral:rRNA from 1 species